CUACGGGGGGCAGCAGUGGGGAAUAUUGGACAAUGGGGGAAACCCUGAUCCAGCAACGCCGCGUGUGUGAAGAAGGCCUGCGGGUUGUAAAGCACUUUCGGUUGGGAGGACUGCUUCUAGCACUAAUAUUGUUGGAAGUUGACGUUACCUUCAGAAGAAGCACCGGCUAACUCCGUGCCAGCAGCCGCGGUAAUACGGAGGGGUGCAAGCGUUAAUCGGAAUUACUGGGCGUAAAGCGCGCGUAGGCGGGCUGAUCAGUCGGGUGUGAAAGCCCCGGGCUUAACCUGGGAACUGCAUCCGAUACUGUCUAGCUUGAGUACAGGAGAGGAGAGUGGAAUUCCACAUGUAGCGGUGAAAUGCGUAGAUAUGUGGAGGAACACCAAUGGCGAAGGCAGCUCUCUGGCCUGAUCCUGACGCCGAGGUGCGAAAGCGUGGGGAGCAAACAGGAUUAGAUACCCCUGUAGUC
rnacentral:rRNA from 1 species